GGGGACAUCGAGGGGCAAAAUUUCUCUUCAAAACUUGAAUGGUGCCAAUCACAUUAAUUGUGAUGCCCAAUAAUGACUCUUUGGAGAGGUCACGAAGAAUGCAAAAAAAAUGAGACUCCAAGAAAAGAAAAGGAUAAAAUAAUGAUAGAAAUAUACAUGUCUUAAAGGAAUGCAUCAUGUCGGGUACGGGGGACUAAUGUUCGUGACUCAAUUUUCCCUUUUAAUAGAGGGAAUACGAGCGUGCUAAGACCAGAAGGCCAAACUCGUCCAUAUCCCAUAUUCAAAGGGUUAUUCCCUAACCUAUGCACGCAAAUGAGCUUAGUAACUAGAAUGAAAUGCAAAAAACCUAUGAUCAUACUUCAAAUGUGGGAAAAGGGAGAAGGGUCAUGCAAAAAUGUAAAAAUACUAAAAAGGAAAAAAAGUGCAUGAACAUGAGAUGAAGGCAUGCGAAUGUACUAGCGAGGGACGGUCCUAUUGGAUCUAGCAUUGGACUAGUCUUCACUAGCGCUCUCUCACAAGCAUU
rnacentral:lncRNA from 1 species